UCCACCUCUACCCAGGCCCAUCUCUCUCUCGCUCUCCCCAGGGACGACCUGCUCUGGAAUGGCGCUCAUGGGGAAGAAUCUCGCUGCAGGCGGGCAAUAUGUCACAUGUUUCCCAGAGAUGGAGACUGGGAGCCAAACAGAGGUGUGACAGAUUCCCAGAUUGAAGGUUUAAAGGGUGCAGAUUAACAGGCUGAGGACAGAGAGCCUCCCUCGGAGCUGAAGGGGAAUUAAGAUGGCAUUAACGUCUCUUCUGCAUCGGCACAUUAGCCUUUCAUUACCGUGUGGUUGCACAAUCCAUACCAGUUUGGCUGCAUGUGCCAAGAGAGACGUGAAGACGUGGAUUGACACACCAUGUCUUCCUCCAGAGCCUCCCUCCUCAGCAUCACCAGAUUAACGGAUUAGCAGGCAAGGCGAGCACUAAAGCUGGCUAAUUCUCACCCAAGCACAUAGAGCUAAAGCUACUCAGAGCCCCACAGAGCCUCUCUCUGCUCAGAGCAGCUGUGUGGUGGAAGGAGGGACGGAGCUUCUUCCCUCUGAAGAGCCAUGAGGAACAAAACAGAAGAUUCACAUUGUCAUUCAUUGGCUUGUUUUGUGCACUAAUAAUUAUUUUUAGUACGCCAUAGUAUACUGUUCAGACAAAACAACUUUUGUGAUUUAAGAUAAAAGUAAUAC